rnacentral:rRNA from 1 species
CCUUGUACACACCGCCCGUCACAUCAUGAAAGCCGGUUGUACCCGAAGUCCGCAGGCUAACCGCAAGGAGCCGCCUAGGGUAAAACUAGUGACUGGGGCU